ensembl:snoRNA
UGGAUCAAUGAUGACUACUGGUGGCAUAUGAGUCAUAUAUGAUGAAGAUGUGUCUGGAACCCUAAGGUCCAA